rnacentral:tRNA from 1 species
GCCUGGGUGGCUCAGUCGGUUGAGUAUCCGACUUCAGCUCAGGUCAUGAUCUCACAGUCUGUGAGUUUGAUCCCCGCUUCGGGCU